rnacentral:rRNA from 1 species
GACGAACGCUGGCGGCGUGCUUAACACAUGCAAGUCGAACGGAAAGGCCCUGCUUUUGUGGGGUGCUCGAGUGGCGAACGGGUGAGUAACACGUGAGUAACCUGCCCUUGACUUUGGGAUAACUUCAGGAAACUGGGGCUAAUACCGGAUAGGAGCUCCUGCUGCAUGGUGGGGGUUGGAAAGUUUCGGCGGUUGGGGAUGGACUCGCGGCUUAUCAGCUUGUUGGUGGGGUAGUGGCUUACCAAGGCUUUGACGGGUAGCCGGCCUGAGAGGGUGACCGGCCAAAUUGGGACUGAAAUACGGCCCAGACUCCUACGGGAGGCAGCAGUGGGGAAUAUUGCACAAUGGGCGGAAGCCUGAUGCAGCAACGCCGCGUGCGGGAUGACGGCCUUCGGGUUGUAAACCGCUUUCGCCUGUGACGAAGCGUGAGUGACGGUAAUGGGUAAAGAAGCACCGGCUAACUACGUG